rnacentral:rRNA from 1 species
ACUGUCCGGCUUGGGGGCGAGAGAGGCCGAUGGUAUCCCGGGGUAGGGGUGAAAUCCUAUAAUCCCGGGAGGACCACCAGUGGCGAAGGCUGUCGGCUAGAACGCGCCCGACGGUGAGGGAUGAAAGCUGGGGGAGCGAACCGGAUUAGAUACCCGGGUAGUCCCAGCUGUAAACCAUGCAGGCUAGGUGUUAGGGCGGCUACGUGCCGCUCUAGUGCCGCAGGGAAGCUGUUAAGCCUGCCGCCUGGGGAGUACGGCCGCAAGGCUGAAACUUAAAGGAAUUGGCGGGGGAGCACCACAAGGGGUGAAGCUUGCGGUUUAAUUGGAGUCAACGCCGGAAAUCUCACCGGGAGCGACAGCAGAAUGAAGGCCAGAUUAAAGGUCUUGCCAGACAAGCUGAGAGGAGGUGCAUGGCCGUCGCCAGUUCGUGCCGUGAGGUGUCCUGUUAAGUCAGGCAACGAUCGAGACCCGCGUCCUCUGUUGCCACUGGUCUUGAGCCAGGCACACUGGGGAAACUGCCGCCGAUAAGGCGGAGGAAGGAGCGGGCCACGGCAGGUCAGUAUGCCCCGAACCUCCCGGGCCACACGCGAGCUGCAAUGGCAGGUACAAUGGGUUCCAACCCCGAAAGGGGGAGGCAAUCUCUAAAGCCUGCCGUAGUUGGGAUUGAGGGCUGAAACUCGCCCUCGCGAACAU